rnacentral:rRNA from 1 species
AUUGAACGCUGGCGGCAGGCCUAACACAUGCAAGUCGAACGAGUGGCGGACGGGUGAGUAAUGUAUGGGAAACUGCCCGAUGGAGGGGGAUAACUACUGGAAACGGUGGCUAAUACCGCAUACUAUCGGAUGUGCCCAUAUGGGAUUAGCUAGUAGGUGGGGUAACGGCUCACCUAGGCGACGAUCUCUAGCUGGUCUGAGAGGAUGACCAGCCACACUGGUACUGAGACACGGUCCAGACUCCUACGGGAGGCAGCAGUGGGGAAUAUUGCACAAUGGGCGCAAGCCUGAUGCAGCCAUGCCGCGUGUAUGAAGAAGGCCUUAGGGUUGUAAAGUACUUUCAGCGGGGAGGCGUUACACGCAGAAGAAGCACCGGCUAACUCCGUGCCAGCAGCCGCGGUAAUUC